GGAGGGUCGAGCUCAGCGGCAGAGCACGUGCUUAGCAUGAACGAGGUCCUGGGUUCAAGCCCCAGUCCCUCCA
rfam:Camelus ferus unplaced genomic scaffold scaffold327, whole genome shotgun sequence.